CAUGAUACGACUUUUACCUCUGCUGUAAUAUGACUUCACCAUAUUGGACCUCGACCCACCAUUGCCAUUUGCUAUAGAUUUGUACAAUUUGUAUUAUCCCUUAAUUUAUUUUCGCAUUUGUUUUAUUUUAUUUUUUUGUAUUUAAUUGUUUUUAUAAUCUUACUAACAUAUGCGCACCUCAAGCCUUAAUCUUAAUUCCAAGCUGAAUUUCAAAUAAUAUAUUCUCAAUGUCGCAUCUUGAUCUCCUAUCAUCUCAUCUUGGCCACCCACCCCAAAUAUCAAAGUCCAAGUUCAACUUCAAUGUUCCCCUUUGUCACUUUUUUCAUUUAUGUUCAAUUGACAAUUAUAUUUAGAUUUUACAUAUUCAAUUCUUUGUAAU